rnacentral:lncRNA from 1 species
CCGUCUGUGCCAUGUCUGCCUUGCAUUUGAUUCCAGCAGUUACCAAGCUAAACUAGAGAAAGAAAUAGCUUUGUUGUGGAUUGCAUUGUCGAGCCAUUUUCGUGUCCUGAUACCGCAUAAACGAUCACCUGAUCGCUGGAUCGAUUGGGGUGCUGUGAUAAAACAUCAUAUGUUGGAUGUCUUGGACAACAGAAUUUUACUUUUCCCAUCAUAGGGACUAAAAGUCCCAGGUAAAGUUAUAGAGUCCCUGAGCCUGAGCCUGAUGGGAGGAAUUUGAUGGAUCAUUCCUUCAUGGGACUGAGUAUUCUAAGAUCAUUCCCUGUAUGCAAAUAAUAUAGUAUGGGUCCCUGUAAUUGUUCUUACCUAAUACAGGAGGGAGCUUCUCUUGUGAAGGCUGAUACUGAUCGUUUUAGGUAGUUCCUGGUUAAAAGAACCCAAAGUAAUGAAAAAUAUAUUGCUAGUAAUAAUUUCUCUGAAUACUCACAGACAGCUAAUACAGAUCGCCACCAAAUCUUGAUACUAUAAGAAUUUUAAACUUAUAACAAUUCAGUAAGCAUAAAUUCAAUAUCUGUCUUCUGCCUGUUUGCCUGCCUACUUACCAAGGUGUUUCCUGGUCCUCUCAGUCAUAGCCAUCCUGGAGAUAGGACAGCUGGGGAAGGAGUCUGAAGACAGUUUCUCGGUAAUCACUCCGGUUAGUGACCUCACAGCCAAGCAGAUCCAAGCUUUUCAGACAAUCCAACCUUUUUCAACGGCUCCA